AUAUAUACACCCUUCCCGUCGCCGUCCGUUCCGCUGCGGUGUCGACCAGAAGUCGAGAGAGAGACAGAGAGAGAGAGGCGAGUGGAUGGAGGAGAGGAGGGCGAGAGCGGUGGAGAAUAGAUGGGUGGAUGGAUAGGGUUUAGCUCUCCACCGGUCGUCUCCUCCGCUCGCUCUUCUCUUUCUCUUGUGGUCGUUAUAUUUUGGAUUGAUGCAAGAUUUUCUAGGGUUUUGUUGUUUAUUGUGGUCGCCGCCGCCUCUGAUUCGCUUGGUGCAGGUCGGGAACGGCUCCAUUUUUGGCCCGCCGGCGAGCUGGAUCCCGCCUUGCAUCAACUGAAUCGGAGCCGGAACGCGACGAUCGAUGCUCCGGAUGCUCCCGCUGCACCGCAUCCCGUGUGUUCUCUGCCGAAAGGUUGGAUCUUUGCUUUUGUUUCGAUCUGAUUUCUCUUUCUUAUCGAUCGGAUGGACUGGUGGGCUGUCUUCCCCUUAACCAUCCGUUAAAGAUGGCAACUUCAUGCUUAAAUAUGUGAUUUUUAUGGAAUUGAUGGAUUCGAAGAUUUCGAUUCUUUUAUUGCAAACACUUACACUUGAGCGACUGGAUGUGGGCUUAACGUGUUCGCCUAAAUUGCUUGAAAUAGCUUGCCGGACGAUGGAUUAUAAAGACCCACUUGGGGGCUAGAUUUCCUGCCGUAAAGGUCGGGUCUUUGUUUUCACUCCUUAUGGGAUUUCUGUGCGUCGGGCUUAUUGGAUUGGUUCCCUCGUUUAUUCGUUUCUGAUUCAGAGUUUUUCCUCACAUGGUGUCUUUGUUUCAUGAUCUGCGCUUUUUGUUGGAUUAGCUGAUUCGAUGAACUGGUUUUUGUUCUUUACUUGCAUUUAAACUUUGUGAAAUAACUGGAUAUGGAUUUCCUCGUUCUAAACUAAUUGAUUAAACUUGCUUGGAGAAUCAUAAGUUCAUGGAGUAUUAAAUACUGGCUCGUAUGCUUGAUUCCUCACCUUAAAGUUCAGAUCUUUGCUUUCUCAUGUUAUGGGAUAGAAUUCCUUUCUUUCGUUGUGUUUCCACAUUCAGAUUGAUUGAAUGACUUGGAUUUUCCAAUUUCUUGUUUUGUUAUGUCAGUUUUACCUUGUUGAUCUGUGACAUAUGGUACCUUUAUUGCUUGAAAUGUGGUGUUUAUUGAUUUGACGGAUCGAGUUUGGGUUUCUUUGUUGCUGCUGGUUUUGGUUCCUUCGUUGCAAAACAGUUGGCCCUUGCAAUACUUGAAUAGCAAUUCUUUUUUUUUUUUUUUUUUUUGUGGUAUGAUGAUAUAAGAUGCAUUAAACAACCAGGUUCUGUCUGCAUGGUGGGCACAGAGCGAACUAUUCUUUCGCCUUUUGCUGAAGAAUAGCAAACGUGAUUUGAACAACUGACUAUUGUUAUUCAAAGCCAAGAGCUGGCUUUACACUGACCAAUCAAGAAAGGCAUUAGACUAUCGUCUUCUUGGAACAUUGACAGAGGAUUGUUUUAUUACGUGGAUUCCUUUUUUUUUUGGGCGGGGGUGGGUGGUGGUAGAUAGCAGAAAUUUUUUGAUGGUUCGUUGUGAGAUUCUUUUUGCUGGACAUGGAUUACUGCUAUUUAGGUAACUUCUUCAGCAGCUAUCAUUUAUCUACUUGUUUUGUCUUCUUUCCAUCUUUUAAUAUUUGCUGCCAAUUGGGAUGAUCUCAAAUACCUCAGAUGGCUGCUCUAGCUAUCUAUGUAUGUUAAUCUACCCAGCUUAAAUAAUAUGUGCCUUUAAUUAUUCUUUUUAAAAUGUCCUUCUAUGUUUAAUUUAUUUGAAAUACUAAAAACAUCGUUUAAAAUCUUUUUAUGUCAAGAUCUAUCAGUGUAAAAGUUUGUGGUGCAAGAAGUCCAGUAGAGAACAGAUGGGGCUUACUAAUGUUGCUUAGCUUAAAGAUGGAAAGCAGUCAAUAGUUGGUCCUAUUUUGCCUACUAAUUCUUAAUACAUGUUUGAUCUUAUUUGCUUGUCGUGACAAAUGGGUAACUAGAAAUAAAAAAGGGUGUCCCCAUGCAUGAAGCUCCCACCAUUGUGGAGUUUGGGGAGGAUUGGAUGUCUUCAGCCUUACCCUGGCAUGUGAUAAGGCUGUUUCUAUAUUUUAAAUUUGUGACAACAAGGUUACAAUGGAGCAACCUUACCAUUGCACCAACACUGACCCUCGAACUGAAGAAAAUAGAACUUGAAAAUAGCUUAUCCAUUGAAAGCUUUGACAAUGAGUGCAGAAGUAACAACAAGAUUAUGCUGAAUGCCUUGGAUAGUUGGACAGAAGGAUUACUAAGCUGGAGGCUUGAACUACUACAACACGAGAAGUAACAACAAGAUUAUACUGAAUGCCUUGGAUAGUUGGACAGAAGGAUUACUAAGCUGGAGGCUUGAACUACUACAACACGAGGUAGGUAGCCUUCUCUGUCUUCUUUUGCUGUAAUAUCUAAAUAAAUUUGGAUGCAUAUGGGCUUGGUGCAUCCAUAUGAUCUGUUUGUUCCUCCACUCUAUCAGCUUUUUUGAUGAGGCUGAAAUAUAUUAAAUUGGUGUAAGUUGAGACCUUUUUUUGUACCACUGUCUUGAAAUAAAGAGUCUUGAACUUAACAAUCUUUUCUCCUGGAUGUUUAGGCCGCAAAUAUAUUAAUCGAAAUAUUAAUCUCUGCCAAACCUCUUAAUCUCUGCUUUAAGCUGUUGUUGCUUAACACACUUUCAAUUUGCAUGGAGGAUACAGCAUUUCUUUAAUCAUUCCUUGACGUGGCAUGAUGAGAUGAUAUCGUAAUUCCUGUAUCUAUGAUAUAUCUGUGAUAUGAAUUAUCAAUUAUUAGUUACUAAAAUAAUGGAUAUUAACAUAUUAAAAUUGUGGAUAUUAGAAUUUCAAGAUGUUUGCUUGUUGUCUAACUUUAUAUGUUACAACUUCUAGAAUUGUUUCAUGUUGGCUAGAGCGACAUAAGUCUCUUUUCUACAUACAUAACUCUCUUCCAGCACGCCUGUUAGACUUUGGGACCUCGCAUGGCACACAUAGAGAGGAUUAACUUAAAGAAAGAAAAAGCUAAAGAAGUCCAUGUGCGCUGGCUUUCCAUUUCGGUCUCUCUAAAAAUAUUUCCUUUCAGAUAGUCUGUGCAAUGCGCAUGCUAGACACUAGUAAGUGAUAGUGUGAACAUCGUUUAUUUUGGCCCCUACCUUUAUGGACGGUAGUUUUCAUUAGCAAGGUGUAGCAAAAUACAGGGGAUGAAUAUCAUACUAACCCGGUGUUGAACUCUCUGUCUCUGAACAUAAUAAACAUUGCAAAGAAAAUGGUGACGAGAUUUCAUGUACAAAGAAACAUAAGCCUCCUUCCAGUUAACUUUAUUCUUUCCCUUAAGCUUUUCAAGCUAUACUGCAAGCUCCUGAAGAAAAUGUUUCAAGAAACGCAUGAUUGCAGCUAACCGAACAGAUGUAGCAAAAAGGUUAUGUCUUUCCUUAGUUCUUCACAUUUUAUUAGCGUGAAUGCUCACACCUUCCUCAUUUGUCAUUUGCCAUUUGCCAUGGAAGAAAACAUCUUCCUUUUCUUGGUCAUGUUGGAUUUUUCAGUAUUCUAGACUUGAGCUGCUUGCCUUUUUCCUUCCUGGCUUUUGUAUUAGCUAGUCCAUUGCCAUGGUUAUCUACUUGUACUGAUGUAAUGGAAAAGCGUGGAGCUGGCACCUUUGAAGCCUGAAGCCUUAUCAUGGGUGCAUAUCAAAAAAGAAACAGGAUGAUGAUUAGUAAUAAUGAUAAUUAGUAGAAGAAUAAGAACAACGCUGAAGACAACGACAACAGCAACAAUAGGCCCAUUGCAUCCGCAUCACAUGUGCUAGGUUCUAGUUUAAUGACUCUUUUCCCCCUAUCAUAUUUUGCUACAGAUCUCUGUUACAUGCAACUUGUUCUUUUACAUUGGCUAAGCGCAUGGUUUGUUAAUGACAUUCCUACUGUUUCGUACUAUAAUCUACCCCCACUUUAGUGGUUUUAAGAAAUGGAUGCCUAUUUCCUUUAGUAGCAGGAUAUGGUAAUAAGGUGUGAGGCAUAUUCUGGUUCUUAAUGUUAAAUUCACUGGUUAUGGAAUUUUGCACCAUCAUAUCCGGUGACUGGAGAGAUUUUGAGAUGCUCGUUGUUUCAGCGGGCGUGUUCUAAGGUAAUUUGAAAUGGUAACUGUUUCCAGCUUCUUUCUUGUGAUUUAUUUAUUUAUUUAACGCAGUUAUCCAGAUGCAAAUCUUCGGAUUCCGGUAGAUCGGAAGCUUAUCGUGCCGUCACAUGCGGAUGCUGCUGUAUGCAAAGGUAAAACACGCUAUGAGAGUUGGAAGGGGUAGCACCAUGUCAUGAUAUAAAAUGCACAUAUUUUGCAGCUUGUUAUAAUGAUUCUGUAUUUGAGGACUAAGAAGUCAGCACAAGGGAAUCCGACACAUUGUAAAUAGAUUAUUGAGGUAUCGGAUCGUGCUAAGUCGAAUUAUAAAAAUAUUGUAAAUAGAUUUUUGAGGUAGAAAUCAUGUUAUUCCUUUUCAAAAAAA